rnacentral:lncRNA from 1 species
CCACAGACUUGUCUACACGUCCUCAGGCUGGAGAGAACAUCAAGGAGGGAAUUUCAUGACUGCAAAUCGGUCUUUCCAAAAUAAUAUUCCUAAUGAUAGCUACUGUUUACGGAGUGCUUCCUCUGCGUGCCGGGCCUGCACUUGCUGAGCACCGUGCAUCCGGCAACUCAAACGUGUUCUUCUCAAGACAGUGGCAGAGUGCAAGAGCACGAGUGGGAAUAAGCAAGUGCCUUUCAAGCCUGUUUGCAUCAUGUCUGCUCACACCCAGUUGUUCCAAUAAGUCAGAUGUCUGGGCCCCUUCUAGGGCACCACAAGGUUACAGGACAAGGGCAGUUAAUGCAAUCAACCUACCGUAGCUCUCAGAAACUGGGGCAGCAGAGGAUGCCUGGGAAAGCCCUAUCAUUUGUUCUAGUCCACCCAGAAGUCUGCCUUGUCCAAGGAUAGCAUAUCCAUCCGUCCAUCUAUUCAAACAUUUGUGGGGACUGACUUUAGCCUAACAGCUUCAGAGGACAUGGGAACAGAAAGAAUUGGGUCCUACUCUAAGGGAGCUUAAGAUACAAUAGGCAUGAACCCAAAAAAUGUCAGCAUAAUGGGACCUUGAGAAAGGCCAAAGAAUUACCAACAAAUUGUUACAUGGCUGAGAUUGCCAAAUAUUGUGGUCUGCAGAAGGAUCUAGGCCCAUUGUGGAUUUUUCAGAAAUCUAAGGUAAAAUGAGCCCAAAAAAGCCAAUGUAGACAGAUUUGUUUGUAAGGUUAAAUUUGUUCUAUUUCAAAAACCAUUGUUUAUUCUGAAAAUGUCCUUCCUACAUUUGAAAUUAACAUGUUGACUUUUAUAAAAUUAAAAGAAAAUAGUUGUGUUUUUUUUGAGGAAGAUUAGCCCUGAGCUAACAUCUGCCACCAAUCCUCCUCUUUCUUUCUUUCUUUCUUUCUUUUUUUUCUGAGGAAGAUUGGCCCUGAGAUAACAUUCAUGCCCAUCUUCCUUUAUUUUAUAUGUGGGACGCCUGUCGCAACAUGGCUUGAUAAGCAAUGCGUAGGUCCA